UAUGAAAAAUGAUCAAAUGAUUUGGUCCCAAAUUAUACAUACUGAUUAUACUGUUGCAUUUAUUUCGGACAUU